CGAGGAAGACCCCCUCCGGCGGAGGCGGGGGGCGGGGCCGAGGAAGACGCGGGUGGCCGCGGAAAUUGAGGGGGGGAGGAGGCAAUGGCAGAGGGGGGAAGGGUGGAGGGGGUGGGCGACGAGUAGUUGUAAGUUGUCCUUAAGCUAAACUAAAGCUGACUAACUAACCAACGUUGAGACGAGACGACGCUCUCUCCGGAGGCGAUGCAAGAACGGCCCCAACAAGAAGAAGCUAAAAAUCCCAACGCCUCGGGAACCUAAAGCGCAUCCCUUCGGAGGAGGGCCGGCACACUACCUGCGCUCCCUCUACACUUCGGACCGACAAUUGACUACGAGCACCUCUCUAAGCCUCCUCUCCUCGCGCGCCACUCCUCCGCCACCUCCGCCUUCGCUGCCUCUCAACCCGUGGUCGCGUCGGUGCCUGCUGCGCGUCGGCGGCCCCCUGCUCCGGACCUUGUCCCGACGAGGCGGGGAGUGCCGGCGGCGGCGGCGGCGGAGGUACCCCCUCAGCGACGAGUGGCGCGAGAGGUACCUGUGGCGGUGCCGGGUGGUGGGCGUGGUCCCGGGGAGGUGGAAGGAGAGGUACCUGUGACGGAGGGUGCUGCUCAAGCUGGAGAAGGAGGGCGGCGGUCCGGGGAAGGUCGCGACGGAGGUACGGCGGCGUCGGCGGGGGGGACUGUAGUUGGAGGGGGAGCGGCGACUGGGCAGCGGAGGGGGAGGCCGGUACGUCUGGUGGUUGGAGGUACUUAGGUUGCAGCUGUACGACCUACAACCGGAGCCGACGGGCGUCGAGAUACUGAGCCUGAGCGGACGACGACGGCGGCACUGGAGCCGGGGCCACAGGUGGUGUUGUUGACAGGUACACAGAGUGUGGUUCUCGAGGCCAAGGUCGCGGCGCGCGUUCACGCACUUCGCCUUACUAUCGUAGACCCCACGUACCAAGAAGAAGUGGGUGAUGAAGUUCGGCCAGUACAGCCGACUAUUCCCGCCGUUCUGCUUCCGUGGGUGACGACGACCCUUACCAUUAUCACGGUGAGACCUACGAAAGGACCACGUCGUACUGUACCUCUUGUACAUGUACACCCACAAAUUCCUGGCCGGCCUCUUACGGGACCCCUUCUACGUCGACUCCUCGAAGUACUUGCCAGUGAGCGCGGAACCCCUCGGUGUCAAAGGAAAGUCGCGUCUGUUUCCCAAACACGCGAGUGUGGCCUACGUCGCAUUCGUGAUGGCCCCCAACAGUUUGGGCGUCACGGAAGUACCCUAACUCUAGCACGCCCGUGGUUUGAAUCACCCACAAGGACUCCGACUAUACUUCUCCACCAAGCUCGAGUGACCCUCUCUACGGUUAAAGAACCAAGGGUGACUCCGCCUACUAAAACUUAGUACCUCCUUAGACGGCUGGUGCCUUAAACUCGAGCUCUCCGGACGUUGACGACGAGGUCGUUUCUCGUGGAGUGUACCGGUAGUGUUCUUCCACGACUUACCAAGACCGGAAUUGGACAGUUGUGUACGUAGUUUCGUACCAAGACCCCUACCAUACCUGUAGAGUCCGCACACGGUGUUUGCAUCCUUCCUAAGGAGGGGGAGACGGUACCUUCUCCUAACGUCGUUAAGUUUAAGUCUGUUCCAAGUCCUGUACCUACACUCGGUGUGAAAACUCGGUAGUACCUGCUUACUGAAGUGACCACACUACGCAGUACGAAGACCCGGUCAUUGACGGCGUUUUUGUUAUAUACUUCUAUCGUUCCCGAUGAACUAGUAGUAAUCGGACGGUAAACGACUAUAUGUCUUCCACUUCCAAUGGACCUUCUUGUGAGAAUGCUUACCACAGCAAUUCUAUAGUACGUGAUCACAGCCUGCCUACGGUAAGAACUUCGCUGUACUGGCCUGGAAGUUCAACUGCCUAGGAAGUGGACUCGUAACAGGUGGUCCCCUCAAGUAGGCCCUUCAAGGUAACGGAUGGGCCUAGGGUCUUCUACGAUGAGACCUUCGUAUGACACUACUUAGUCCUUGUCCGGAUCUCUAAUAACAGGGAUUUGUGGCACGACCUGGACUUCUUGUACUUCAGGCACACAGGGACUCCGGAGGGAGUAGUACCACGGUUACUUUUGUACAACUUCCACACACUAUCUACAAGUACAUCAUCAAUCUCACAGAUAAUAACAGUCGACGAGAACUGACUAGGAAACGACAGAACAGACGAUUGGGAGAUCAUACGCCCCUCUGUUCCACACCUACAAUGGUAUGUUGUUUACGUCGAGUCAAAACGAUUAACACUGCCUCGUCAGGAUCAGCUAACUUCGUAAGACCAUCAACCUUCAACCGUCGACACCUUUAAAUCCCCGUACGAUGUCCGGUGUUCCUUGUAUCGCGGGAUACAAAACCAUAGCAACGACCCCUCAUGGAACACAUAAUAGAAAACUAAACACCUUAAAAACAAACAUAAUUUUCCAAACAGCGGACGAGUUACACGAAGGUAGACACGUAAUGAGACCACUCGUCAGACAAAUCCGUAAAUAUCAGUCAAAAGUAUCCAACCACUCUUCAGACGAAACACCAGUAAGAACCUUUAAAGUAGGUUCUUUCCUCGAGUACGUUCACAAACAUCCUAAACAGGUACAAAACAGCCAUGAUAACAAAAAUAGUCGUAAGCUUGCGAAAGGUCCUUUAACGACCUUCCGCUCACGUUAACAAACUUCCAUGGUUACAUUUGUUAGACAGUAGUUAUAUCUAAAAUCAGAAAUAGUCAAUACACGUGACGACAUCAUUAAACUUAAGUGAAAGUAUACGAAACCAUAAUACAAGUCAAGUUGAAGUUGGGGCGACUUCACUAACGUCACAAGCGUUGCGACUCAACAUAGACGUAAAAAGAAAACGACUUCACUUCAUAGACGUUCCUAUCCUAAUCGGGGUAAACCUCCAUAAAUGGAUAAGACCACAGGAUGCAGAGUGCGUUGUGGAACAAUCGUUGGUCUCUUAAAAAGAGUAUUGUUUCACCGUUGACAAAACUAUAAUUCAAAAACGGGACCCUGACG
rnacentral:rRNA from 1 species